rnacentral:rRNA from 1 species
AGGAAUAUUGGUCAAUGGCCGAGAGGCUGAACCAGCCAAGUCGCGUGAGGGAUGAAGGUUCUAUGGAUCGUAAACCUCUUUUAUAAGGGAAUAAAGUGACCCACGUGUGGGUUUUUGUAUGUACCUUAUGAAUAAGGAUCGGCUAACUCCGUGCCAGCAGCCGCGGUAAUACGGAGGAUCCGAGCGUUAUCCGGAUUUAUUGGGUUUAAAGGGUGCGUAGGCGGCCUUUUAAGUCAGCGGUGAAAGUCUGUGGCUCAACCAUAGAAUUGCCGUUGAAACUGGGGGGCUUGAGUAUGUUUGAGGCAGGCGGAAUGCGUGGUGUAGCGGUGAAAUGCAUAGAUAUCACGCAGAACCCCGAUUGCGAAGGCAGCCUGCCAAGCCAUUACUGACGCUGAUGCACGAAAGCGUGGGGAUCAAACAGGAUUAGAUACCCUGGUAGUCCACGCAGUAAACGAUGAUCACUAGUUGUUUGCGAUACACUGUAAGCGGCACAGCGAAAGCGUUAAGUGAUCCACCUGGGGAGUACGCCGGCAACGGUGAAACUCAAAGGAAUUGACGGGGGCCCGCACAAGCGGAGGAACAUGUGGUUUAAUUCGAUGAUACGCGAGGAACCUUACCCGGGUUUGAACGCAUUCGGACCGAGGUGGAAACACCUUUUCUAGCAAUAGCCGUUUGCGAGGUGCUGCAUGGUUGUCGUCAGCUCGUGCCGUGAGGUGUCGGCUUAAGUGCCAUAACGAGCGCAACCCUUGCCACUAGUUACUAACAGGUAAAGCUGAGGACUCUGGUGGGACUGCCAGCGUAAGCUGCGAGGAAGGCGGGGAUGACGUCAAAUCAGCACGGCCCUUACAUCCGGGGCGACACACGUGUUACAAUGGCGUGGACAAAGGGAAGCCACCUGGCGACAGGGAGCGAAUCCCCAAACCACGUCUCAGUUCGGAUCGGAGUCUGCAACCCGACUCCGUGAAGCUGGAUUCGCUAGUAAUCGCGCAUCAGCCAUGGCGCGGUGAAUACGUUCCCG